rnacentral:rRNA from 1 species
AAAAGACUCAGUCCUAACC